rnacentral:rRNA from 1 species
AUUGAACGCUGGCGGCAGGCUUAACACAUGCAAGUCGAGCGGGGGAAGGUAGCUUGCUACCGGACCCAGCGGCGGACGGGUGAGUAAUGCUUAGGAAUCUGCCUAUUAGUGGGGGACAACAUCUCGAAAGGGAUGCUAAUACCGCAUACGUCCUACGGGAGAAAGCAGGGGAUCUUCGGACCUUGCGCUAAUAGAUGAGCCUAAGUCGGAUUAGCUAGUUGGUGGGGUAAAGGCCUACCAAGGCGACGAUCUGAAGCGGGUCUGAGAGGAUGAUCCGCCACACUGGGACUGGGACACGGCCCAGACUCCUACGGGAGGCAGCAGUGGGGAAUAUUGGACAAUGGGGGGAACCCUGAUCCAGCCAUGCCGCGUGUGUGAAGAAGGCCUUAUGGUUGUAAAGCACUUUAAGCGAGGAGGAGGCUACUUUAGUUAAUACCUAGAGAUAGUGGACGUUACUCGCAGAAUAAGCACCGGCUAACUCUGUGCCAGCAGCCGCGGUAA